UGCACUAUUGUCUAACCUGGCCUUGCCUC
rnacentral:piRNA from 1 species